GAUGAACGCUGGCGGUAUGCUUAACACAUGCAAGUCGAACGGACUCUUCGGAGUUAGUGGCGGACGGGUGAGUAACGCGUGAGAAUCUGGCUUUGGGUUCGGGACAACCACUGGAAACGGUGGCUAAUACCGGAUGUGCCGAGAGGUAAAAGAGAAAUUGCCUGAAGAUGAGCUCGCGUCUGAUUAGCUAGUUGGUGAGGUAAAGGCUCACCAAGGCAGCGAUCAGUAGCUGGUCUGAGAGGAUGACCAGCCACACUGGGACUGAGACACGGCCCAGACUCAUACGGGAGGAAGCAGUGGGGAAUUUUCCGCAAUGGGCGAAAGCCUGACGGAGCAAUACCGCGUGAGGGAAGAAGGCUCUUGGGUUGUAAACCUCUUUUCUUAGGGAAGAACAAAAUGACGGUACCUAAGGAAUCAGCAUCGGCUAACUCCGUG
rnacentral:rRNA from 1 species